GUGGGUAGUUUGACUGGGGCGGUCUCCUCCUAAAGAGUAACGGAGGAGCACGAAGGUUGGCUAAUCCUGGUCGGACAUCAGGAGGUUAGUGCAAUGGCAUAAGCCAGCUUGACUGCGAGCGUGACGGCGCGAGCAGGUGCGAAAGCAGGUCAUAGUGAUCCGGUGGUUCUGAAUGGAAGGGCCAUCGCUCAACGGAUAAAAGGUACUCCGGGGAUAACAGGCUGAUACCGCCCAAGAGUUCAUAUCGACGGCGGUGUUUGGCACCUCGAUGUCGGCUCAUCACAUCCUGGGGCUGAAGUAGGUCCCAAGGGUAUGGCUGUUCGCCAUUUAAAGUGGUACGCGAGCUGGGUUUAGAACGUCGUGAGACAGUUCGGUCCCUAUCUGCCGUGGGCGCUGGAGAACUGAGGGGGGCUGCUCCUAGUACGAGAGGACCGGAGUGGACGCAUCACUGGUGUUCGGGUUGUCAUGCCAAUGGCACUGCCCGGUAGCUAAAUGCGGAAGAGAUAAGUGCUGAAAGCAUCUAAGCACGAAACUUGCCCCGAGAUGAGUUCUCCCUGAGACUUAGAGUCUCCUGAAGGAACGUUGAAGACGACGACGUUGAUAGGCCGGGUGUGUAAGCGCAGCGAUGCGUUGAGCUAACCGGUACUAAUGAACCGUGAGGCUUAACC
rnacentral:rRNA from 4 species